rnacentral:rRNA from 1 species
CAGUAGCCGCGGUAAUACGUAGGUGGCAAGCAUCGUCCGGAAUUAUUGGGCGUAAAGGGCUCGCAGGCGGUUUCUUAAGUCUGAUGUGAAAGCCCCCGGCUCAACCGGGGAGAGUCAUUGGAAACUGGGAAACUUGGGUGCAGAAGAGGAGAGUGGAAUUCCACGUGUAGCGGUGAAAUGCGUAGAGAUGUGGAGGAACACCAACGGCGAAAGCACUCUGCUGGGCCGACACUGACACUGAGAGACGAAAGCUAGGGGAGCAAAUGGGAUUAGAUACCCCCGUAGUCCCUGUCUCUUAUAC